rnacentral:rRNA from 1 species
GCAGAACGCGAAGAACCUUACCUACUCUUGACAUCCAGAGAACUUAGCAGAGAUGCUUUGGUGCCUUCGGGAACUCUGAGACAGGUGCUGCAUGGCUGUCGUCAGCUCGUGUUGUGAAAUGUUGGGUUAAGUCCCGCAACGAGCGCAACCCUUAUCCUUUGUUGCCAGCGGUUCGGCCGGGAACUCAAAGGAGACUGCCAGUGAUAAACUGGAGGAAGGUGGGGAUGACGUCAAGUCAUCAUGGCCCUUACGAGUAGGGCUACACACGUGCUACAAUGGCGUAUACAAAGAGAAGCGACCUCGCGAGAGCAAGCGGACCUCAUAAAGUACGUCGUAGUCCGGAUUGGAGUCUGCAACUCGACUCCAUGAAGUCGGAAUCGCUAGUAAUCGUAGAUCAGAAUGCUAGUGAU